UUAGUUUAGGGUUGGUAACACACUCAAACCACAUAUAAUAUGAUAAACUCUUCUUCUAGGACAUGUUAGAUGAACGAAAUGAAAGUCGCAGUGUACAAGAAAUAACAUUAAUAACACAAAAAUAAUAUUUAUCUACAAAAACAUCAACAUACUUCAACAUAAACAACAACUCACCUUAAUAAAACAACAAAAUACUUCCACAAAAACAUCAACUCACCUAAUAAAAAACAUCUACAAUAACACAAAUAAUAAUAUUUAUCAAUAAAAAUAACAAAAUAAACAACAACUUACCUUAAUAAAACAACAAAAUACCUCCACAAAAACAUCAACGUUCCUAAUAAUAAAUCAUCUACAAUAAUACCAACAACAAUAUUUAUCAACAAAAAUAACAACUUACAUUAACAUAAACAACAACUUACCUUAAUAAAACAACAAUAUACUUCCACAAAAAAAUCAACAUUACUAAUAAAAAACAUCUACAAUAACACAAAAAAAUCAACAUUACUAAUAAAAAACAUCUACAAUAACACAAAAAACAACAUUUAUCAACAAAAACAAUAAUUUACCUUAAUAAAACAUUAACAUACCUCCACAAAAAUAUCAACAUGCAUAAUUAAAAAAAACAUCUACAAUAACACGAACGACAAUAUU
rnacentral:lncRNA from 1 species